rnacentral:rRNA from 1 species
GAUGAACGCUGGCGGCGUGCCUAAUACAUGCAAGUCGAGCGAACAGACGAGGAGCUUGCUCCUCUGACGUUAGCGGCGGACGGGUGAGUAACACGUGGAUAACCUACCUAUAAGACUGGGAUAACUUCGGGAAACCGGAGCUAAUACCGGAUAAUAUAUUGAACCGCAUGGUUCAAUAGUGAAAGACGGUUUUGCUGUUACUUAUAGAUGGAUCCGCGCCGCAUUAGCUAGUUGGUAAGGUAACGGCUUACCAAGGCAACGAUGCGUAGCCGACCUGAGAGGGUGAUCGGCCACACUGGAACUGAGACACGGUCCAGACUCCUACGGGAGGCAGCAGUAGGGAAUAUUCCGCAAUGGGCGAAAGCCUGACGGAGCAACGCCGCGUGAGUGAUGAAGGUCUUCGGAUCGUAAAACUCUGUUAUUAGGGAAGAACAAAUGUGUAAGUAACUAUGCACGUCUUGACGGUACCUAAUCAGAAAGCCACGGCUAACUACGUG